GACGAACGCUGGCGGCGUGCUUAACACAUGCAAGUCGAGCGGAAAGGCCCUUCGGGGGUACUUGAGCGGCGAACGGGUGAGUAACACGUGAGUAACCUGCCCUUGGCUCUGGGAUAAGCCUAAGAAAUUGGGUCUAAUACCGGAUAUGACCUUUACCCGCAUGGGUUUCGGUGGAAAGUUUUCGGCCAGGGNUGGACUCGCGGUCUAUCAGCUUGUUGGGUGGGGUGAUGGCCUACCAAGGCGACGACGGANAGCC
rnacentral:rRNA from 1 species